rnacentral:rRNA from 1 species
UACGGAGGGUGCAAGCGUUAUCCGGAUUCACUGGGUUUAAAGGGUGCGUAGGCGGGCAGGUAAGUCAGUGGUGAAAUCUCCGGGCUUAACCCGGAAACUGCCGUUGAUACUAUCUGUCUUGAAUAUCGUGGAGGUAAGCGGAAUAUGUCAUGUAGCGGUGAAAUGCUUAGAUAUGACAUAGAACACCAAUUGCGAAGGCAGCUGGCUACACGAAUAUUGACACUGAUGCACGAAAGCGUGGGGAUCAAACAGG